rnacentral:rRNA from 1 species
AGAGUUUGAUCAUGGCUCAGGAUGAACGCUCGCUACAGGCUUAACACAUGCAAGUCGAGGGGCAUCAGUUUGGUUUGCUUGCAAACCAAAGCUGGCGACCGGCGCACGGGUGAGUAACACGUAUCCAACCUGCCUCAUACUCGGGGAUAGCCUUUCGAAAGAAAGAUUAAUAUCCGAUAGCAUAUAUUUCCCGCAUGGGUUUUAUAUUAAAGAAAUUCGGUAUGAGAUGGGGAUGCGUUCCAUUAGUUGUUGGCGGGGUAACGGCCCACAAGACUACGAUGGAUAGGGGUUCUGAGAGGAAGGUCCCCCANAUUGGAACUGAGACACGGUCCAAACUCCUACGGGAGCA